AUGACAGUGUGGCAGGAGGGCAGCACCCUGUGCCCCACUUCACGUUCCCGGAGACACAGGAGCGAGAGAGAAACCGCUGGACACCGGAGGACGUCAGGCAGGGGCCCAGAACUGACCACUCCCCGCCCUGGGGGUCUCACAGGGGGAGAGGUGGGCUCCUCGAGACGAGCAGCUGGCCCGCCCCUUUCUCUGGAGGGGCGCGGCGGAGCUGGACAGAGGAAGACAGGAGGAGAGAGCAGGAAGGAGCAGUCAGCGCGCGGAGUCCUGACCCUGGUAUUUUUAGCCGGUGUCGUAAAAGGGAGCCUUUCCUCUCGGCUCGGGCUGCACGCGAACCCCCCCACUCCCGGCCACAAUGACCCAUUGUCUCCGGGCCGAUGGCCGUUUCCUGCGCGCCGCCGCCGAGCAACGCCCUGCUCUCCGCUCCCCAAGAAUGCCCGGAAGCCCGGGCACAGCCCCGUCCAAAUAAACACCGCGCGCUUCGGGGUGGAACCAACGGGCUGCGGGGCGAGUUCCCCCUCUCCGGGCAGGAAACUAAUUAGCGUCGCACCCCCAGCACCCAGCAUAGACCUGCAAGGGUCGCGCUGACAGGAGGGGGUGUGUCCUCACGGCGUUUCCUCUCCUUGGGAAACUUUCUCAGGUACCCCAAAAUCCUUCUCCCGUCCUCCUGCUGCCUCUGCUUUUCCUUCCUCUGUCCUGGGGGUCAGAGAUGCGCCCAGCCCUCCCCUGAGCCACAGCUGCAGCUCGUGAUCCAAACCCAGCCUGCUUCCCCAGGCCCCGAGCGGAGCCCAGCUAUCGGGCACUCUGUCU
rnacentral:lncRNA from 1 species